rnacentral:rRNA from 1 species
UACGGAGGGUGCAAGCGUUAAUCGGAAUUACUGGGCGUAAAGCGUGCGCAGGCGGUUUGCUAAGUCAGAUGUGAAAGCCCCGGGCUUAACCUGGGAACGGCAUUUGAUACUGGCAAACUAGAGUGUGGUAGAGGGGAGUGGAAUUCCUCAUGUAGCGGUGAAAUGCGUAGAUAUGAGGAGGAACACCAGUGGCGAAGGCGACUCCCUGGACCAACACUGACGCUCAGGUACGAAAGCGUGGGUAGCAAACAGG